ensembl:lncRNA
CAGUUCCCAGUCGUGCGCUCGUGGCCCAGACCAGACCCGGGCUGGUGUGUGGAGCCAGCCACGCGGGCCCGUCUGUCCUGCGUGCCCUGAGUGGGCGCAGAUGAGAGAGGGCGCGGUUGCUCCGUCCGCUUUUCUCCCCUCUCGCCCCCACGCGGGGAGCCGUCCAGCGAGGCCUGGCUGGACUGAGCCCGUGCCGGACACGGUGCUCCGUUGCCGUCCUGGAGGGCCCAGAGGAUUGCUCGAGGUGUGCCCACCAGGCCCCUCCCCUGAGACAGGGGGCUGGGUGCCGUCAGGUUCUUUCUUGGCUGCCCCUGGAACCCGGAGGUGGCCCUUGCCUGGUUCCUGGAUCCUUUCACUUCCCCUUCCUCGUCGCCUUGCCGUGUGGAAGGCAAGGGCCGCUCUUAGCCCGCCAGCCCUGGCCAAGGAGGGGAACCCACUCGGAGGGUGGGGUGGCACCAAGGCCUUGCGCGGCCCAACGCACAAGGGGGGACGGCGCGCCCUGCUGCGGGCCCUCGCCCUGGCCCCGGUGCCACCACUUUCCCUUGGCCGGGAUUCUUUGUGGCCUAGGCAGGCAGGCGCCCGUGCUGUCUCCGCACUGACCUAGGCACCCACCCACAUGAGGCGUCGGGAGGUGUGGGGCCGGGAGAACAUUGCUCUGCCUGGUUUCCUAGGCGGAGGCAGGUGUGUUGUCGGCAGAGACCCUCACUCAGGCCAAGUGCGUGAUGUCUCUUCUUCUUCCGCAGACGCCGAGCCCGGCACCCGGGUACCUGUUCCGGACGUGCCGCUCCCAACCAUGACUCCCAGCACCGAGGAGGCUGACCACGACCACGACCACGACCCCGACCCCGACCACGACGCCGAGCCCGGCACCCGGGAACCUGUUCCGGACGUGCCGCUCCCAACCAUGACUCCCAGCACCGAGGAGGCUGACCACGACCACGACCACGACCACGACCACGACCACGACCACGACGCCGAGCCCGGCACCCGGGAACCUGUUCCGGACGUGCCGCUCCCAACCAUGACUCCCAGCACCGAGGAGGCUGACCACGACCACGACCACGACCACGACCACGACCACGACGCCGAGCCCGGCACCCGGGAACCUGUUCCGGACGUGCCGCUCCCAACCAUGACUCCCAGCACCGAGGAGGCUGACCACGACCACGACCACGACCACGACCACGACCACGACGCCGAGCCCGGCACCCGGGAACCUGUUCCGGACGUGCCGCUCCCAACCAUGACUCCCAGCACCGAGGAGGCUGACCACGACCACGACCACGACCACGACCACGACCACGACGCCGAGCCCGGCACCCGGGAACCUGUUCCGGACGUGCCGCUCCCAACCAUGACUCCCAGCACCGAGGCUGACCACGACCACGACCACGACCACGACCACGACCACGGUAGGGGCCCGUGUGCCUUGUGUCCUCUGCCCCUGGGAGCCCGCUGGGUUGCCGGGGCUCCUUGAGCGAGAACGGGCUUUCCUAUUGCCUCCGGGACCGGGAAGGUGUCGCCAUGCGAUUCCUUGUCCCGAAACGCUGGCCUGUGCUCUGGAGCUGCGGGGACGUCCUCGGGGCUCUGCCCGGGAAGGAUGUGCUCCCUGGGGAGAGAGGGGCCGCGGUGCGAGUCCGGCGCUCCGAGACGGGGCCGUGUGUCCUCCCGGGUUCUCUGGUUGGCUGCACGCUGCCUGGGCCUGUCCGCAGGUUGUCCGUUGCUCUGCGUGGUGGUCUCCUAACCCGUGCGGGAGGGGCGUAGGCUUCCCCGCCCCCCACGUCUGCUCCCGCCAUGACCCCGGGGGUCUGGUGCAGCACUCCCGGCCCGCAUGCCUGGCGUUGCCACGGAGGCUGCGAGUGCAGAAGCCUCAUGGGACCCGGCGUGGAGUGCCCCACUGCCCCUGGUGGCCCAGUGUGCGCAGCGGACUUAGGCGCGGGCACGCUGGGCUCCGCGAGGGUGGUGCUCUGUGCCUCUGCCUCUCCUGAGACGUCCUUGCCUUCCUCUUGGCGUUGGCUGGUCUCCGAGCUCCCGGGACAGCGUCCAGGAGGCGUGGCCGCUGCCUGAGGACAAGUCCUCGAUGUGCCCUCUGACGCUGGCACGAGCGUGUUCUGGACCCGGGCCGUGCCCCCAGGCAGCUGGGGAGUUGUCUGCCUUGUAGUGCGGCGGGCCACCAGGAGAAUCUGACCCAGUGUCCUGGAUGGGCCAGUUCCCAGUCGUGCGCUCGUGGCCCAGACCAGACCCGGGCUGGUGUGUGGAGCCAGCCACGCGGGCCCGUCUGUCCUGCGUGCCCUGAGUGGGCGCAGAUGAGAGAGGGCGCGGUUGCUCCGUCCGCUUUUCUCCCCUCUCGCCCCCACGCGGGGAGCCGUCCAGCGGGGCCUGGCUGGACUGAGCCCGUGCCGGACACGGUGCUCCGUUGCCGUCCUGGAGGGCCCAGAGGAUUGCUCGAGGUGUGCCCACCAGGCCCCUCCCCUGAG